rnacentral:tRNA from 1 species
UCCUUGGUUGUCCAGUGGCUAAGACUCCAUGCUUCCAAUGUGCGGAGCCCAGGUUCGAUUCCUGGUUGGGGAA